rnacentral:rRNA from 1 species
GGAAUAUUGGACAAUGGAGGCAACUCUGAUCCAGCCAUGCCGCGUGAAGGAAGACGGCCCUAUGGGUUGUAAACUUCUUUUAUAGAGGAAGAAACCCUCCCACGUGUGGGAGGCUGACGGUACUCUACGAAUAAGCACCGGCUAACUCCGUGCCAG